rnacentral:lncRNA from 1 species
UCCUCUUUGGCUGUGGCCAAGACAACGAGGGCCUCUUCAGGGGCACCGCCGGCCUCAUGGGCCUCAGCCGCCACCCCAUUUCCUUUGUCCAACAAACCUCCUCAAUUUACAACAAAAUUUUCUCCUACUGUCUCCCCUCCACCCCCAGCUCCCUUGGCCACCUCACCUUCGGCGCUUCCGCCGCCACCAAUGCUAACCUCAAAUACACUCCCUUUUCCACAAUCUCCGGCGAAAACUCCUUCUACGGUCUCGACAUCGUCGGCAUCUCCGUUGGCGGCACCAAACUCCCUGCUGUCUCCUCCUCCACCUUCUCCGCCGGUGGCUCCAUCAUCGACUCCGGCACCGUGAUCACGCGGUUGCCUCCGACCGCGUACGCCGCGCUCCGGUCGGCAUUUCGGCAGUUUAUGAUGAAGUACCCCGUUGCCUAUGGGACCCGCCUACUUGACACGUGUUAUGAUUUCAGUGGGUAUAAGGAGAUUUCAGUUCCGAGGAUAGAUUUUGAAUUUGCCGGUGGCGUCAAGGUGGAGUUGCCAUUGGUGGGGAUACUCUAUGGGGAAAGUGCGCAACAACUGUGUUUGGCUUUUGCUGCAAAUGGGAAUGGCAAUGAUAUUACGAUAUUUGGGAAUGUGCAACAAAAGACACUAGAGGUCGUGUAUGAUGUUGAGGGUGGGAGGAUAGGGUUUGGUGCUGCUGGGUGCAACUGAAGUUAGUUUGAUUAAUAGUGGUGUUAAUUAAACAUGCUUUGGGCUUGUUAGGGAGGAAGAAAUCUUAAUUGGCUCUGGCAUUUUUAAUUACUAUUGUUGUUGUUACUGGAAAGUACUCUAAAACAUAUGAAAAAAUAAAUAAAGGAAAUGAUGUGGGAAAUAUGAUGUAACAUGUAGAAUGGAGGGGGUGUUAUAUUAUACAUAUGACUCCCAACCAUUGGGGUUGCUUGCAAUUGCACAUACAUGGCUAAUAUGGUUUUAUAAUAGUUAACUUAGCUAAACAUAUUAAAUUUAUUAAUAAUUUAUACUUUGUUGAACUCAUAAGCAAAAAAAAAACUAAUUUUACACUAAUAAAAUUAGUUGAAAUAAUUUAAUUUUAUUAAUUUAAAGUAAAAUAGUAAGAUUAUCUCUACAAAAAUUUUAUUAGAACUUGAUAUCACGAAUAAAUAAAAUACAUAAAAAUAGAAUUCAAUUAAAUAUAUUUUUUUAAAAAAUAAUAUUAUUAAAUAAGGAUAAAUAAUUAGAUUUGUUUAUAUUUAAAUUCAAGCCCUUAAAAAAAUUAAAAUUAUCAAAGAAUGGAAUAUGUCACAAAAUAAACAUAAAAGCGUCGUACGAAGAUUUUGUGACUAGCAAAUGCUCUCACAAAUUUUGGCGUCCUAUAAGCACUUAAGUGAGGGACUUUUUGUCCCGUCACAUACAAUGACAGAAUCUAUUGUGAUUCAUCUACCUCAACCCCCACUAGACCAAUCUUGUGUGUAGAAUGUGAGAAUAAAUAAUCAUUUUUCUAUGUAAAUUUGUAAAUAACAAUAAUACAUUAAAAUCAAAUAUAACGAAUAAACAAGCUAAAUAAUUAUGAGUUUAAUUUGCUUGAUAUCUCAUAAUAUCCAGUAGUGAAUAUAUUAACAACAUUCAAAGUUUUGUUUAACAUCCAAAGUCUUAAAAUACCUAUUUUAUAAAUAUCUAUUUAAAGUCUUAUAAUUUGUAACAUAAGUAGAAUAUAUAAUUAAUUUUCAAACACCCAUAUUAUCAUCUAAUUCAUCAUCUUGUUGAUCACGUGUAGGAAGUUAUGGACCACAUUGAAUUGGUUGAGAUCUUUGACCAACUGAAACAUUCUCCAUAAAUUAAGUCAUUUUUGCUCACAAAACAAAUGGCCCUCUUGUGAUUCAACAAACAUGUCUUUCAAGUUCUUAUCUUUUUCAAUCAAAUCGAAAACUUUAGUUCAUUUUCUCAUAUUCAUGCGAUGAGAAACCAUAAGAUGAUAUGGAUGAGAAAGAAAGCUUGUAUUUCCUUGCCUCUAAACCUAGACCAAAUAUCAAUUGUUAGAUCCCUUAAGAUAUAAAACCUUUUUUCUUAUAUAUGAGUUUAGAUGAAUUAUUACUCUUUCAAAAUUAUCCUUCAUUUUUUUCUACUUAAUUAUUUCUUACCUAAUUAGUCGUAGUCGACCUCUACUAAAAAAUAGUCUCAAUUAAUGUUAGUAAAAUAAUUACCUUUUCGACCUUGACUAGAGUUUUUUUCCCAAGGCAUGCUUUAAAAUUUAAAAAUCCAAUGAAAUUUAAUAACAUAUUUUGGAUAUAGUUAGUUACGGAAUGAUUCUAUAUAAUCUAAUUAUAUAACCUGAUUUCUUUGAAAACUCCUAAUAAAAACCAAUUAUUGUUUCCUUUCAAAUGUGUGAUUUGAUAAAGGAACUCUAUUCUUUGACUCACUUCCUAAUUUACUUAGAAGAGUUUCUUAAAAGUAUUAAUGAAUGAGGUUCCUAAUAUAUUUCAAAGAGGUUUUUAAAAGUUUUAUUGGAUGAGGUUUCAAUGCUACAUUACUCUAACAUUGUUGUUUAAGAUAAAUAAAAAGGAAUAAAUUAUAUUUUUAAUUGCACUUUUUAUCUUUAUUUUUUAAAAAAAUUUGAUGAUUUUUUUCUUAAAAUUAAUUUGUCAUAUUUUAGACAUAAUUUUUAAAAAAUUUGUGAAUUUCAUCAUUUGUCAUUCAUUUAUUAAUAAGCAAAAGUUAUGACUAUAGUUUACCAAAAACAAAAGUUUAGGACAGAAUUUGUUAAAAAAUAAAAAAUGUUGCGUAAAAAAACUUUCAAAAAUCAAAAAGUUAGAGAUAAACAAUGUAAUUAUUUCAAAAGGAAAAUGACGGAAGAUAAACAAUGUAAUAAUUUGAGAUAAAUUAUCUUAAAUUAAUUUUUUGAGGUGAAAUUUGUCAAAAAUUAUAGAAGUUAAGAGUAGAAAAUGCAAUUAGACCUAAAAAUUAUAGAGAUUAAAAAAAAUUAAAUCACCAUAGUUAAAAUUAUAUUUAAACCAAAAAUUAAUAAAUAGAAAAUAAUGUGAUUGAAGAAAGUACUACUCCGAUGACGUUACACCACCAACAUGGCAAAACCUCCAUUCAAAAGCCCUAGGUAUUCCCCGAUAUACUUUUGAGGAUCAAAGGGUCAACUGACUUUGUACAAACAAAAGUCAAGUCACGUUAGUCGAUCGGAUUGGUUGCGUAUAUUGCGGUGGAAACUUUGAUCUUAUCUCCACUUUUUAUUUUUUUUUAAUUUUACACUAGGAUAUAUUUAAAGGAUUUCAUACAACUGUUAUAUUUUUUUUUAGUAAGAACUAUGUAUACUGAUUAUUAAUAAUAAUAUUUGUUUUUAAAUUAAAUAUAUGCAUAUGAUUAUUAUUUUAAUAUUAAUCGACGAGUUAACAGGUUAGAUUUCCAGACCAAUUAGUUUAAAAAUUAAAAUCCAUGAUCCAACAUGUGUAUGAAAAGGUUAAAAUAGAUUGUUCAAUGUGUUUGAGUCCAUUUGGAUCCAUUUGAGUUAGAGAGUGACACAUGUUUUUGAACAAUUCUAAAUAUGCCCGUGUUACAUAUAAAAGAUUAUAGUUGUAGAUGAGAUAUGUGUAUAAUAUAAAUAAGUCAUAAUUACAUAGUAAUUUUCACUUUGGACCAACAUUUGCUAAUUAGAGUUAAGAUGAAUAAGUUUAUUUACUUUUUAAAAUAAAGUUCUUAUUAUUUCUUUUUAUGACUUAAGUUUAAGACAUUAUUUUUAAAAAAGUAAAUUAUGUCAAUAAACAAAUAUUGACAACUUAAAGUUAAAAUAUAUUUUAUAUACAUUGAAAAAAAUAUAUUUUUAUGUAAAAAUGCAUACAUAUAUUUGUGUACAUACUUGCAUUUGUUUGUAUAAAGUUUGAGGAAACUCAAUAAUUAUAGUUCAAUUGAUAAUAUAAGUUAAUUUUGUAAAAAAGAUUUAGGUUCAAUUUUCAUAUAAUAGAUCACCUUUGAGAAGAAGUAAUAGAUUUUUGGUGUGACUAAUUCUCAUCGAUAAUUAAUCUCAUUAUCCCUAAAUGCCAUAAUUAUUGUUAUAACAAUGCUAAGCAAUAUUAGUGUUGAGAUUGACCAAGAAUAACAAGCUUAAUUAAUAUUAAUGAAGUAGUGUAUUUUGGUAUACAUAUUUAUCAAGUGACGUUAAAGAAUUAAUAAUCUAUAUAUUUGGACACGAUCAAUGAAUUAGCCUAUAAAGACCAAGUAUUCCGACGGAGUUGUCGUAUAACCAGGCUUAUGUAUAUAUUAGCUAUUAAUCUUCAGUUGACAUGCACAUCCAAAUGUCUUCUUUCCUCUUAGCUUCAAUUCGCUUGCACUUUUGUUUUUCAUCUCCUCCUUGGAGAAGAGCUUUGCCUUUCAAGCAACAAAGGAAAGCAACAAUCUUCGUCAUAUCAUUUUGUUCACCUCAACUCUCUAUUUCCAUCAUCUUCUUGCAGCUCUUCUGCCAAAGGUCAAUCCAAUCUUCAAUUCCUUGUUUUUUUAUUAUGUUUUUCAAUAAUAGCUAGAGUUUCUCUUUGAUAAUUUAAGUUAACAAUCAAGUAAAUCUUUUUAUAUGAAGUAUUGAAGAGAGACUCUUAUUCUAAUUGAAGAGGAAUGUUAAUAUACUCUCUCUACCACUCUUUCUAGUGAGACUUUCUUUAAAAGUUAGAAGAGAAAAUUAUUAAAUAAAACAUAAAACAUUCAAAAAUUAAUAAUUUUUAAUAAAUUUCAGCUAAAAAUUAACAAGGAAUUUUUAUCUAGCUAAAAAUUGCAUACCAAACCUAGAUAUAAUUGAUGUGUACCCGAUAAAAUGUAGAAUUAUAUUUAUUGAUUGAAAAAAAUUAAUAAAUGAUAUCAUAACAAAUGCAUAUAAAUAUGUAAUAAAUUACACAAUCAUUAAAAUCUGGUUUCCUUUUAACUUUUAGCUAUUAGCUGUGUACGUGUUUUCUCUUAAGGACUCUUUCAAGUCACAUCCUUAUGUUAAAUCAAUUUUGAUUAUUCACUUUAAUAUGAUGGUUGAUUAACAAUCAAUGAUUUGGCAACACUAAUUCUAAUUCAGGUCCUAAAAGGAAAGCAUCAUUAGAAGUGGUACAUACACAAACAUGGUCCAUGCUCCCAACUAAAACAUAGAGGCAAAGCAGAGGCUACAAUAUCACACAAUGAUAUUAUGAACCUAGACAAUGAAAGGGUAAAGUAUAUUCAGUCCAGGCUCUCUAAGAAUUUGGGUCGAGAAAAUACUGUGAAGGAUUUGGAUUCAACUACCCUACCCGCCGAGUCUGGUAGCCUUAUUGGGUCUGCAAACUAUGUUGUUGUUGUUGGUCUUGGUACACCAAAGAGGGACUUGUCACUUGUUUUUGACACAGGUAGUGAUCUUACAUGGACUCAGUGUGAACCCUGUGCUGGUUCUUGCUACAAGCAGCAAGAUGCAAUCUUUGAUCCAUCAAAGUCUUCAUCGUAUACCAAUAUCACAUGCACAUCUUCCCUCUGCACUCAACUCACUUCUGAUGGUAAAUCUUUACUUUUGAAUACAGAAAUUAAUGAAGAAAAUAUUUAAACUAACAGGAUUACUGAGGCACUUAUAUAGUCUGAUACCAUCAAAUUAAAUGUUUAGAUAGAAAACAACCAUAAUUUUACAAUAUCACAAAUCCAAAUAUAGAUGUAAGUAUUUAGACGGUUGCUUACUUGAUGAAAAAUUAAAUAAAAAAAAGUAAAAAUCAAGAUACUGGAAUGAGAAAAAAUUAAAUGAGAUGUGUAUUUAAUUUGUUCAAUUUAUGAGAAAAAAUCAUGUUAUAAUUCUUAAUUAUAUGUUAUGUGAUGAUUAAUUAGAAACCAUGUGUGAUGAAGAUCAUUUAAUCAUUUUUCAACGAGAAGGGUUGCAAUAUUUGAUUAUAUUAUUAUUUAAUUUUUUUUUCCAUGCAGGAAUUAAGUCAGAAUGCUCCUCAUCCACAGAUGCAUCAUGCAUAUAUGACGCCAAAUACGGUGACAAUUCCACCUCCGUCGGCUUCUUGAGUCAGGAGCGCCUUACCAUCACCGCCACCGACAUCGUCGACGACUUCCUGUUCGGCUGCGGCCAAGACAAUGAGGGCCUCUUCAAUGGCUCCGCCGGCCUCAUGGGCCUCGGCCGCCACCCCAUUUCCAUUGUCCAACAAACCUCCUCAAAUUACAACAAAAUUUUCUCCUACUGUCUCCCCGCCACCUCCAGCUCCCUUGGCCACCUCACCUUCGGCGCUUCCGCCGCCACCAAUGCUAGUCUCAUAUACACUCCGUUGUCCACAAUCUCCGGCGACAACUCCUUCUACGGUCUCGACAUCGUCAGCAUCUCCGUUGGCGGCACCAAGCUCCCUGCUGUCUCCUCCUCCACCUUCUCCGCCGGUGGCUCCAUCAUCGACUCCGGCACCGUGAUCACGCGGCUGGCCCCGA